rnacentral:rRNA from 1 species
AUUGAACGCUGGCGGCGUGCUUAACACAUGCAAGUCGUGCGGUAACAGGCGUAGCAAUACGUGCUGACGAGCGGCGAACGGGUGCGUAAUACAUGGGAAUCUGCCUUUUAGUGGGGAAUAACCCGGCGAAAGCCGGGCUAAUGCCGCAUAAGAUCUUCGGAUGAAAGCGGGGGAUCGUAAGACCUCGCGCUGAUAGAUGAGCCCAUGCCGGAUUAGCUAGNGGUGAGGUAACGGCUCACCAAGGCGACGAUCCGUAGCUGGUCUGAGAGGACGGCCAGCCACACUGGGACUGAGACACGGCCCAGACUCCUACGGGAGGCAGCAGGUGGGGAAUAUUGGACAAGUGGGGGAAACCCUGAUCCAGCGACGCCUCGUGU